CCGGCGACCGGCGCACGGGUGAGUAACACGUAUGCAACCUGCCCGUCUCAGGGGGAUAAUCGUCGGAAACGGCGUCUAAUACCCCGUAUGAAGCUGGACGGCAUCGUCUGGUUUUGAAAGAAUAUCGGAGACGGAUGGGCAUGCGGCGCAUUAGCUAGUUGGCGGGGUAACGGCCCACCAAGGCGACGAUGCGUAGGGGUUCUGAGAGGAAGGUCCCCCACACUGGUACUGAGACACGGCCCAAACUCCUACGGAAGGCAGCAG
rnacentral:rRNA from 1 species